GGCUUGGUGGCGUAAUGGUAAUGCACUCCAUAUCCCUAUGUAGUUCACGGUAUUGCUUAUGGGAGGUUCGGAGUUCGAUUCUCUGUCGAGCCA